UUUGUUGUCUUAGGCUGAAACUUUUUGUUGAAUGGAUGCCAAUAGCUAGAAAAGAACUUGGAAGCUAUUUGUGCAAUCUCCAUCUUAACAAUAAGCAAGCAACCAGAUGUUUAUUGGUAAAUAGGCCUUGGAAGCUGUUUGUGCAAUCUGUAUCUGAACAAUCAGCAAGUAGCUGGUAAAUGUUGCUCUGAAAGAUUUGGUGGACAUCCUCUUACUCAAACUUUGCGAACAUCACCGUCCCAGUGGGAGAGGAAAGGCAACAGUCAAUACACCCAAGCAGACAUAGAUAUGAUGCGAAAUGAAUGGGCAAAGUAUGUCGUGAACGCGUAUGUGUAGGAGCUAAAGGAAAGCAUAAGAGGAAGUAGGUUGUUGCUGAAGGAAAGCUUCAUUUUUGUGCUUCUCUGCUGGUACAAUAUUCAUGCACUGUGUGGCAUGUUUUGUAACAAAUAGUUUGUAUUUGUAUCAGCUUUUGAUGUCCCAAGUAGAUGGACAUGCAUUUGAAUGCUCUUCUUCUUUCAAUGUUGGUUUGGAUGAUUGGGAAAUCCUCCCUUUUAACAUUUGAAUGCUUCCUUCAAAUAGUAUGAGUUGGAUUACUCAUUUCAUAG